rnacentral:lncRNA from 1 species
UAUCCAGCCUGUGCUCCUGGCUGCAGCUCUGGCACUGGCACUGAAAUGGGAUCGUGGCCUUGGCCUCCAGCUCUAAAGCAAAGUGGUGUCAGCUCCUCCUGACACACCUGGGGCGAAGCAGAGGGGAAGGUUUGAGCUGGUUUGGGGACAGUGACAGUGUGGGGGGCACUGCAGGUGCUGCCAGUGGGAUCAGGGCCUUAGGGAGGCCAGUGGGACAUGUUCCCACCACUGGAGGAGGCGGCUGUGCAAUUCCGUGGGGAUUCAGGCUCAGGAAUUUGCUGGCAGCCCUUUCCCAGGGUGAUUGGCAGCUGGCAGGGAGGAGGUCGCUCUGCAGAUGCAAUGUUUGUGUCUCUGUCCUGAGUGGGCUUUCCUGAUCAGUGAUAACCCCAGGGCUGGCUGAAGAAAUGUCACUCUAAAUACAGGUAUCGACCUCAAUAGAAAUAUUUUCAUUUUACAGUGUGAAAUGCCAGCAACGUUAUCUACCUGAUGGCUCACAGAUUAUAAUGUCUGUUCCUUCCCAACACAGUAAAUUCUCCACGAUGUCACAUCACAUGAUGGCGAGGCAGGUUUGAAGCCCCGGCUCUCCAAGUGACUUCCAGCGGACCGUGACGGGAAUCAAGGUCUUAUCGUCAAAGCACCAACUAUAUUUCGAGAGACAUCUGCUUUUCUCAAGAGCAACACACAAACUUGGCUCUGCCUUUUAUUUUUUAUUUUUUGUUGUUUUUCCCUCCUCCUCACUGCAGUGCUGCUGCGAGGAAGUGCAGGUGAGAGGAGGAGGAAGCAGCAAGGGGCGGUCCAGGCUGCAUCCCUGGAAAUUCAGUUGUUGAUUGUUAAGGAGCGUCAUUUCAACUUAAACUGUUCCAAAUCUCUUCCUUUGCCUGAGCUGCCCCCUGCCCCUGCCUGCUCGUGUGGGAUGUUGGAACUGGA